UUGGAGGACCCCCCACGAAGCUUCGGCGCAGUCCGCUGGGCGGGUUGGCGGGUUGAGGCGCGGGCUCGGGAUCCAGCGCUGUCAGGGCGCAUCUCCAAACUUUGACCAGCUUUAAUUUACCCUGAGCAGCGAACCACGCCGCAAGUCGGCCUCUUCUUGCAGAGAGAAAUGGAAAUGCCCAGAACAAAAGAGCUCUUAUCGCCCCAAAGCCUGGAUUUACUUAUCCUGAGGCGGGGAAACUGAGGCCCAGACCAGUUGGACCCUCCAGCAGUCGAGACACAGGCAGGACCGAAGAGUCAAAUCAACCUUGCUGAGAAGUGCAUCAAGUUUAAAACCAGACCUUCGAAAGGACGUCCUGCAGUUUUAAACAUGAUGCAAAAUAUAAACAAAUUACUGCACUGGACACCGCCCAGCUGCGGGGAAUCCAAAAGUCAACGGUAAACAAAUGAAGCUUUACUUUGGGACCCAAGCAUCUAAGUUGAGGACACAUUUAUUUCCCUCGCAAAUUUUGGUUUUAGCUGGGGGAGCUCAAGAUCAGAAUGUCCAUCAGAAAAGCCCCCAGGGCAAUGGUUCCAGGCAGGGCCACUCCCAGAGGUCGGUGCGAAGAGGCAGAGCUUUGCUCAUUUCUGGGGGUACUGGGACACAGGCAUUGUUUGUUGCUGGCUUUGAAGGGGCGUCUCCUGUGUGUUGUGUUCAUUUGGCGACAGUAAAGCUUGUCUCGCCCAAGGCAGGGAACAAGACAUCACCGCCGGAUGCUGUGUUUCACCAAGUCAGAGAAGCAAGGGACAGCUCGCUCCGUAGGGAGACCGAGCGGUGGGGUCACGGCCAAACCCAGGGCUGGAGAUGGGCCUGGGGCGGGGGGUGUUUCCUGUUGCUGCUGUAAUGGUCUUCAUGAACGAAGUGGCUUAAAACAACACAAGUUUAAUUUUUGUUGUUUUAUUUGAAAACAGAUUUAUUGAGAUAUGAUUAACCCAGCAUACGGUUCACCCAUUGAAGGUAUACAAUUCAGAGGUUUUUCGUGUAUUCACAGAUAUGGGUAAUCAUCACCAUAGCCAAAGAUAAAACAUUUUUCCUUGCUUUGGAAAGCAAACCCUGUACCCUUUAGCUCUCACUCCCAUAUAUCCCGACCCCCUGGUCCUGGGCAUCCCCAAGUCUACUUUCUAUCUGGGGCUGGGAACAAAGGUGUGCCUCCCUCUAAGUGACACCCUCUGUUUUGGAGCUGAGUGCUCGGUGGGGCCGGGGGUAGGCAGUAGCCUCAGGUCCCCUAGGCUGGCCUCUCCCGGCACGGAACUCUGCCUUAGGAGCCUGGCAAGGCAUUUGGGCCCCGAUGUGCUCAGUGCACCAUCCCCUGGUGGAGCCCCCAUACCGGGCACGGAACGAGGCCCCAGCUCCCAUCUGCAAGUCCCCAGAACUUGGCCUUGGCAACGGGAACCUGGGGCAGGGUGAGAAAUGCCAACAUCCUACCCUUCCUGAGAAGAGAGGCCUCCAUCCGGGAGCUGGGGGAGAGGGAGCCCCGUGUUCUUGGCUGCAUCAUUCUGGAGUGGCGUUUCCACCCUGCUGACUGGAGGUCCAAAGUCCAAAGUCAAUCUCACUGAUCUAAGUCAAGGUGUCAGUUGGACUGGCUCUUCUUGGAGCCUCUUGGGAGAAUCUAUUUCCUUGCCUUUCCAGAGACCACCUCUAUCCUUAGGCUUCUGGGCCCUUUCUCUGACUUCUAAGCCAGCAGGGUAGUGUCUUCUCUGACCUCUUGCUUCUCUUAUAAAGACCCUUAUGAUGACAUCAGGUCCACCUGGAUAAUCCUGGAUAAUCCCCCUUCUCAAGACCAGGAAGUUUCCUUUUGCCACACAAGGCACCACAUUCCCAGGUUCUGAGGUUAGGACAUGGCCAUUGGGGUGGGGGUGGGGGGCACUGUUCUGUCUAUUGCAGGAUGAGGAGAGAAGAGAGACAAUGGUGGCCUCCAGCUCCAAGACUGGCACUUUCACCCCCAGCCCAGCUUGGCUCCUUCACCCAGCCGGGAGAUGCCUGCCGCCUCCAAUACGGUGGGACCACUGCCUUUCCCAAACACUGCUCACCACCGUGCUGGGUUCCAUCCUUACCUGGACUGUUGGCAGAGACCAGCCUUGGUCUUCUCGAGUCUAGGUGACAGUGACUACUGUGCACUGAACACCUACUGUGCACCAGGCUUGGUUUGAAUCCGUAUGACUACUCUUUGAGGAGAGAGUGUUAUACUCAUUUUAGAGAUGAAGAGACUAAGGCUGGCGAGUGCAACUCACCCAACACCACUCAAAUGGGGGAAUGUGGAAUUACAUGUGUGGAGAUUUUAAAAUCAAUUUUAUUUUAUUUCUGCCUUUAUUAUGCCCGCUUCCAUUGUUUUUAUUAGUAUUUGUCCACAAAGUCUUUGAUAUUCCUCCUUCAAAAGGGGAACCUCAUUCUCCUCCCCUUAGCGUGGCUGUACUUGUUUGCUGGCUUCUUGAGAAUAUAAUGUCUAUGACAUCUGAGACUAGGACAGCAAAGGAACUGUGGCCUCUUCCUUGCUUUCUCGUAGGCACUUAGCUCAGGGGAAGCCAGGUGCAUGGUGUAAGGACAUUUAGGCAGCCCUACUGAGAGCUGAGUGAAGCAUUCUGGAAGAGCCAGCCCCAGUCAAGCACUCAAAUGAUGGCAGCCCAGCCACCCUCUUAACCCAUGAGAGACGCCGGUUGGAGCCAGGACCAUCCAGUUAAGCUGCUCUGGAAUUCCUUUUUCUUUUUAAAUCUUUUUCCCCUUUUUUCUUUUUAUGCCACACCUGCAGCAUAUGGACGUUCUCAGGCUAGGGGUCAAAUAGGAGCUGCAGCUGCCGGCCUGUGCCACCAGCCACAGCCACAGCCACAGCCACGCCAGAUCUGAGCAGCAUCUGUGACCUACACUGCAGCUUGCAGCAAUGCCAGAUUCUUAACCCACUGAGCGAGGCCGGGGAUGGAACCCGCGUCCUCAGGGACACUAUGUCGGGUUCUUAACCUGCUGAGCCACACCAGUAACUCCUUCUCCCUCCCUUAUGAUCUCUCCAGGGCUGGUUUCUUCUAGAGCCUUCAGGCCAUGGCAGGGGUUCUUUCAAGAAGGGUAAUGAGUGGGCAGCUAGAGGACCAGACCUUUAGAGAACUUUGUGUAGGAAAAGCUUCCUCCACUUUGAAGGCAUUGCAGAGCCACACAGGCAAAGCGCAGGCAAGAGAAUAACAGAUACCCACAUUCGGUUACCUAUACACAAUUUCAGGACACUCGAGUUAAUUUGAGCCAUUCUCCUAAGACAUAAAAUUACUGAGAUCUGCUGUUGUGUUUCUCGCAUGAUCUUAGUUCCCAAACCCAACAUACUCUAAACCCCUCUCCUUCCCAAUCUCCCCUACCCCCCAAAUCCAAAUCAGAUAUCAGGUAUUUAUAUACUGACAGGUUUAUUUUUUCCUUAAAGCUUGAACAAAUACAUCUUUCCACACAGUUGGUAGAAUUGGUAGAGAAGUAAGCCCUUACUGCUUUACAUAAAACUUUCUGGCCAAAAUCCAAAGUCCAUCCACUUUUUUGAUACAUGUGUGUUUUCCAUGUUUUCCAGUCCUCACAACCCAUCGAGACCUGUCUGAGCGGAGGGAGAGCUAACUUUGAGAGCAGGAAGGGACAAUAACACGUGCCUUUUGCAAGUAUUAAAGACAAGCAGCUGUAGGAUUCUGAGAAUUCUCAGUAAAUAGUUCAUAGGAUUCUGAGAAUUCUCAAUAAAUAGUUCAUAGUAUACAAAUGCUUAACUCCAUAGCGUUUACCUUUAAUCAAUGGCAGUACCAGUUAUCACUAUAAUAAAGGAUUCAAGGGACAUUCAAGGGGCUACACAUAUUUAUAGCAGCAAGAGACAUGUAUCAUUUAGCCCUUCUAAUAAUCCCCAAAGAGGGAAAAAGUUCAUUAUAAAUUGAUACUUGACGAUUCUAGCCCAGCUAGUGUUAAUCAGGUUUUAAAAAUCUACCAUAAAGUGUUAUAAAUAUGGGAUUCAGGAAAGCAGCCUAAGAAAAGCUUCUGCUUACCUAAUUCAGGAGGUAACAAGCUACUCCCUUUGAGGAGAAUUCAUGCUAGAUUAAUAUUACUAAAAACAAUGGAAGAUGGCAUCAAGGCAGGCAUUAAAUAAAAUUUGUCCUUGAUAGGAGAAUCAUUUUGCAUUGUAAGAGUGUCUUAGGUUCUUUUAGAUAGACAGAAAAAAAAGGUCAUGCAAAUUGUGAGUUUUAACUGUAAUCACAUGCUAAUUGAGGGACUGUCAAAGGUUUGCCCCAGAAGGACCUUUUCAAAGAGGUUAAAAACUUAUUCUAAUUAACAUACAAAUUGAGGCUUACAACCCAAAGAAGGCAAAACCCUCUACUCUUAAAGCAAACCCUAUCUAUAGAUGUCACAGAAAAGAAAUGUUUGCUUCUUUCUUGAAUGAAAAGGAAUUUUCCAUAUUGGAAAACUGGGGGUACAGUGAGAGAGGGGGAGACAAAGAGACAGAGAUCCAGGUAAAGAACCUGAUUAAGGCAGGCAGAACAUGACAAAGAUCAACCGAGGAGGAAUACAAGUAAGCGUGCCAAAUACAACAGUUCCCUCCUUUGAUGAGUGAGCUGGUGGGGGAUGGAGGUAGCUUCAGGAACCUUCCCCCGGCCGCCUGGGAGUCUGAAUAUCACAGCUGCUGCUCCUCUAUUCAGGGAAUGAUGAAUUAGCCACUGCUUAUCAGGCAACUAACAGAGCCAGCAAUAAAAAGAUUGCAAAGACACUGUCAGAAACAGCCCUUUUGAAACCGGAAACAAAGUUUUGGCCAGAGGUGAACAUGCACUCAUAUGUCUGAAAAAAGAAGUUUUUAAGAGGCUGGGGGUGGUGGUGGUGGGGGCAGCGCGUGGCGGCACCGACUACAGGUCUUUUAUUUUAGAAACAUAUCCACUUCAGUUGGUGAUUUUUCUGUCUUAAAGACCACCUUGGACUGCUACAUAGCUAAUAUGACCGGACAGCAAAGAGCUGUUUAAAACUGUCUAAAAUGUUAAGUGGGUGGGUAUCUACAGAUAAUCCCUGGCCCAGGGUUUCAAGUCUAAGGCUGCUUCAUUUUCAUAUGGUGACAGGGUAACCUGGAUUGCAGCAAGGCAGCAAGAAUAAGAAGGAAUACCUCGGGGAGAGAGAAAGGAUAAAUGAGAGAGGAGAAAGAGAGAAAACAGAAAUGAAAGCCAAACAAAAAAAUACAAUUAAAGUGACUUACUUUGUUGAUGCCAAUUUGGGCCAGUUAGCAAAACCACAGCAUUAUCAUUUGUCAAAGACGCAACAAAGGGUGGAUUUAAACAUCAAAGUUAGAUAUGUCCCUAAACCUGACCUGCUAAAGCCAAAUCAGCAUAUUAUUUCAAAGCCCUCUUACCUGGCAGCUGGUGCUAUGCUAGAAUGCUUUCCUUGUCUCUUGCUGUGUGUCUCCUGUCUCUUGGAAGCAUGCUCCUUGGAAGUAUAGGGAAUUCCUAUCCUGGCGCAGCGGUAAUGAACCUGACUAGGAUCUAUGAGGACAUGGGUUCGACCCCUGGCCUCGCUUGGAGGGUCAAGGAUCCAGCCUUGCUGUGAGCUGUGGUGCAGGUUGCAGACUCGGCUCAGAUCCUACGUUGCUGUGGAUGUGGUAUAGGCUGGCAGCUGUAGCUCCAAUCGAUCCCUAGCCUGAGAAUUUCCAUAUGUCGCAGGUGCAGCCCUAAAAAGCAAAAAAAAAAAAAAGGGAAAUACAGUUUCAGGACAUCGGGACCCUCUUCUCUACUCUGGGGUCCCUUCAGCUUCCCCUCCCCCAGAGUUCCUAACAGCACUACCAGGCAUUGCCCUGGAAGGAAUGGCUUACAAUUGGCCAAUAGGGCCCUGCUGGGGAGCACUGAGAACUCCGACCCAGUAUUCUGUGAUAAUCUAUGUGGGAAAAGAAUCCAAGAGAAUGGAUAUGUGUAUAUGUAUGACUGGGUCACUUUGUUGUACAGCAGAGGUUAUCACAGCCUUGUAAAUUAACGAUACUUCAAUAAAACUUAAAAAUAAGUAAGAAAUGGGAAUCAAUCCAGUUGUCUUACAGAAGUCACGAUUUCAGCCCAUUUAAAAAAUUGACGUUCUUCCCCUCUUUGCUAUCAUAAAGGCUAAAUGGAAGAAGAUAGAAAUAAAAAGGAAGAAAAUAUUGUCCCAUUACAUUAAGAAAAUGGAGAAAACCAAUCAAUGGGGGAAACCACGCCGAAAACAAACAUAAACCCAGAAAACGAUACAAAUCUAAGCCCUUUCAAUAAGGAUGGUGUUCAAUACAAAAUUUGAAAUGCUUGUAUCUGCUCAGGUGAACACAUGACUAGUUCCAAGUUUGAGGAAAUUCUUGAACAAAAAGUGCACAUCAAAGCAGUGAGCUGGCAGUACACCCUUCCUUCCCCAAAAAGUUUUCAGGAAGAGGCUGCACAGCCAUCAGUUAGUGAUGUCACCAGGAAGGUAUCUGGCUUCCGGUAGGAAAUUGCUCUGGAUGAGCUUUAGGAUUCUUAAAACUCUAAGGUUCUGGGAUAUGCUGAAAAUAAUGACCAUGGUUUGACCUGAUCAACCACGAGGCCCUCUGAAAGAAUGAAAUCAACUCAAAUAGCAAGACAUUCUACAAGUUAGCUGAGUGUAAUGAUAUAUUUUAAACCCACACUCAGACCUAUAACCUACACUAUAAAUUUUUACCAGUACUAUUUGAUGACCUUAAGCAUUAAAAAAUCUAUAUAACUAAAAAACCCCUAUUAUCAGUUUCUACUUCAAGAUGCUAGUUGAUAGCCACUUUACAGAACCAGGCAAAGACACAACUGAACUGUGAUGUAACAGAUUGUCAGUAUUAAAUAAUAGCUUCAUCUCUAUUCUGCCCAUUUCUGGGAUCAAUGCACCUUCUAAAUUUUUUCCCCUUCUACCUUAAUGGAUCCUUCCGCAUGCUGCUGAGGUAGGGGAGGAGAGGUAUAAUUAUUCUCAUUUUACAGAUGAAGAAACAGAGGCAUAGAGAGACUGAGUGUCUGGUUGGUCUGGAAUAUCAGUACUAAAUUGCCUUCCCACCUCCUUUUUGCAAAAUCGUCAGCAUGAAGAGUCAUACAUAAUACAUUUUACUCUUCAAUUAAAGCCAAGGGUUCAGGGAAGAAAGGAGGGAGAAAGUGAGCUUUUUUGGGUAACCCUGUUUUCUUUUAGAGGACAAAUGUGCUUUUCUUAAGACACUGCUAAGUGUAAGUAUUAAAAACUGAACACUGAGAAACAAAGCUGGGGCACUGACAAAGCCACGUGUGAAGGCGGGCUUUCUGCCGUAUUAUUCAGAGCUUCCUGAGACUUCGGCUCUCCCAAGAGGCUCACUGUACAAGAGUCAGCUUUGCAUCCAACUUCAACACGCAAUGUUUCCAGUCAUCCCAGAGCUCUUUUGGACAAAACAAGCUAAUUGAAGAAUACCUUGGUCAAUAUAAAGAAAUAGUAUUAUUUGAUGACCAUCCUAGAAUAUAGAAACAUAGCUUUAUGCCCAAGCAAUUCAUCGACAAAAAGGUUAAGAAUGGAAAUCUAUAAUGGUUCCUCAGUUCUGUGGCUCAUAAGCAAAACAUUAAUUUCCAAUAUCUAAAUACCUUCAGAGGAGGAAAUAUUUUUGGAUUGGUCCGGUCACAUGAAAUCUGUUCACAUAAGAUCUGAUGUGAAAACUUUCAAUAGAAAGUGCUCCGUUUAACAACAGACUGGCACAUCUGCAUGGUUGGCAUCUGAUGCUGUGAUAAAGGAAUGCUAAUUCUGAGUCUGCCAUAGAGAGGCAUAUGUACAAUUUUUAUUUUCUCCAUAUUAAAAAUAUUUCUUUAAACAAAAAUAAAUUCCAGUCAGCCUCUUCUAAGGAAGGAGGAAAAUUAUUAAGUUUUCAAAACAGUCACAAUGAAAAGACCAGAAUAUUAGCAAAAACUGUUAGAUAUGCUUGUCAUUCUUACAUGUAAGAUGAAGUCACUAUGAUGCUUUGCUUAAUUUGUUUAUCUCCCAAUAUAGGCUUUGAAAAACUCCUCUAAAGGCCACAACUUUGUAAGGGACGUAUAUGGUUUCAUGAUAUUUCUGCUCUAGAAACUUCUUAGGUUAGCACUCCCCCCCACACACAAAAACCCCAAAACCAACCAAACAAAAAAAUUCAAAGACCCAAAACCAACCGAGCAGAAAUUGACUAAUCAAACUCAAGUUUCCCAUGAAGGUACCAACAAUGAAGUAGCUAAUUAAAAAAAUAAAGUGUCACAUUUAUAAAGCCUAGAGAAAAUCAAGUUAACAAAAUGCAUUCCUUACUUAAUCUUCAAAAACAAAUUACUACUGCUGCAUGUUUUAAAUCCCCAAGUUUAGGAUUCUGAAGUCUUUGUAAUAAAUCAAAACCAUAACCAUCUUUAAAGCUAUGUUAAAAUAAUCCUGGAACUCUGGAAUGUUAUCACCUCUUAGGGAUAUACUGGUUCUUUAGGACACCAAUCUGGUGUUGAUAAUUUGAACUAUUUGUAUCCGUAUCUUUCAUUUAAAAAGAAACAGAAUACAGGCAUUCCCAUUGUGUCUCAGUGGUAACUAGUAUCCGCCUAGUACCCAACUAGUAUCCUUGAGGACUCGGGUUUGAUCCCUGGCCUUGC